UACGGGGGGGGCAAGCGUUGUUCGGAAUUACUGGGCGUAAAGGGCUCGUAGGCGGCCAACUAAGUCGGAUGUGAAGUCCCCAGGCUCAACUUGGGAACUGCAUCCGAUACUGGAUGGCUUGAAUCCGGGAGAGGGAUGCAGAAUUCCAGGUGUAGCGGUGAAAUGCGUAGAUAUCUGGAGGAAUACCGGUGGCGAAGGCGGCAUCCUGGACCGGCAUUGACGCUGAUGAGCGAAAGCUAGGGGAGCAAACGGG
rnacentral:rRNA from 1 species